CCAUUGGAACAGCUACUGUGUAAGUGAACAACUAUAAGAAAACCCACUUAUCUCACAAAUUCCAUCUACAAUUGUUUCACCGAAAUCCCAUGUACCCAUGUGGGGAAUCGAACCAGGGUCUUCGGCGUGACGAGCGAACGUUUUAACC